rnacentral:rRNA from 1 species
AGAGUUUGAUCCUGGCUCAGGAUGAACGCUAGCUACAGGCUUAACACAUGCAAGUCGAGGGGCAGCAUGGUCUUAGCUUGCUAAGGCCGAUGGCGACCGGCGCACGGGUGAGUAACGCGUAUCCAACCUGCCUUACACUCUUGGACAGCCUUCUGAAAGGGAGAUUAAUACAAGAUGUUAUCAUGAGUAAGCAUUUUCACAUGAUUAAAGGUUUACCGGUGUAAGAUGGGGAUGCGUUCCAUUAGAUAGUAGGCGGGGUAACGGCCCACCUAGUCUUCGAUGGAUAGGGGUUCUGAGAGGAAGGUCCCCCACAUUGGAACUGAGACACGGUCCAAACUCCUACGGGAGGCAGCAGUGAGGAAUAUUGGUCAAUGGACGAGAGUCUGAACCAGCCAAGUAGCGUGAAGGAUGACUGCCCUAUGGGUUGUAAACUUCUUUUAUACGGGAAUAAAGUUAUCCACGUGUGGUUUUUUGCAUGUACCGUAUGAAUAAGGAUCGGCUAACUCCGUGCCAGCAGCCGCGGUAAUACGGAGGAUCCGAGCGUUAUCCGGAUUUAUUGGGUUUAAAGGGAGCGUAGGUGGAUUGUUAAGUCAGUUGUGAAAGUUUGCGGCUCAACCGUAAAAUUGCAGUUGAAACUGGCAGUCUUGAGUACAGUAGAGGUGGGCGGAAUUCGUGGUGUAGCGGUGAAAUGCUUAGAUAUCACGAAGAACUCCGAUUGCGAAGGCAGCUCACUGGAGUGUAACUGACGCUGAUGCUCGAAAGUGUGGGUAUCAAACAGGAUUAGAUACCCUGGUAGUCCACACAGUAAACGAUGAAUACUCGCUGUUUGCGAUAUACAGUAAGCGGCCAAGCGAAAGCGUUAAGUAUUCCACCUGGGGAGUACGCCGGCAACGGUGAAACUCAAAGGAAUUGACGGGGGCCCGCACAAGCGGAGGAACAUGUGGUUUAA